GUCUUAUCAGUGAUGUUUAAAAAUAAAUGUCUGAACAUAUGAAAUCAAGUGAUUCCAAAUUGUUUCUGAGAUAAGAC